rnacentral:rRNA from 1 species
CAAGUGACCACCCGAAUUCCGUACAUGGAGUCAUGCGCGAGCAAUAGCAAAGCUGCUACUGAUGCCCCCCACUUUGUGCUUGUCUAUAAAGGAACUCCUGUCCUUGGCCCGCCAAUACGUACUGGGGUCUGACAGCGAGCCGCCGGCACCCCCGACCGUAAUACGUUGGGAAAGGGGGGGGUAGUUACAUAGGUUCGCGGCGUUGAGCUUGUUCCUGCUACCUGACCGCCCCCCAACCCGUAGGGCUACCGUAAUUGAGAAGAGGAGCCCCACUACAGGCCCCACCCCGGUAUAUGGCCGCACAUAGUUGGUGUAGGUUCAGUUCAGUAUCAGGUUGCGGGGAGGGGGGGUAGUGUGGUGGUUUCGUCACGCGCGGCCCGGUUGAGGUUGCGUAGUUCGGCGUUAUCUACCCGCCUGCUUACCGUCAUAUGGGGUUCGGGGGUACGAAUACGGCUCACUCUCCUCUAUGUUUCGGAACUGCCGACAAGCUGCCAUGUUUCGGAACUGCUCACAAGCUGUCGUUCAAUCCGGUCCUACAAAGGGGGGUAGAGUAUGCGGGGGGGUAGUUGUUGUUGCGGUUCGGAACGUCGUGAGACAGUUCGGUGCAUAUCCGGUGGGUGCGGUGAAAUGCGCUGAGAUCGGAAAGAACACCAAAGGCGAAAGCACUCUGCUGGACCGGCACUGACACUGAGAGACGAAAGCUAGGGGAGCGAAUGGGAUUAGAGACCCCAGUAGUCCUAGCCGUAAACAAUGGAUACUAAGUGCUGUGCAUAUCGACCCGUGCAGUGCUGUAGCUAACGCGUUAAGUAUCCCGCCUGGGGAGUACGUUCGCAAGAAUGAAACUCAAAGGAAUUGACGGGGGCCUGCACAAGCGGUGGAGCAUUUAAGUUAAUUCGAUGCAAAGCGAAGAACCUUACCAGGGAUUGACAUGCCGUGAAUCCUCCUGAAAGGGAGGAGUGCCUUCGGGAACACGGAUACAGGUGGUGCAUGGCUGUCGUCAGCUCGUGCCUACGGGUGUUGGGUGUUGUCCCGCAACGAGCGCAACCCUUUUGUGACGUUGCCAUCGUGGAGUUUGGAACCCGGCUACAGACCGCUGGCGCUGAGUCGGAGGAAGGUGAGGAUGAGGUCAAGUCAUCAUGCCCCAACUACCCUGGGCCACACACAUGCUACAAUGGCCGGGAUAAAGGGCCGCGACCCCAUGAGGGCAAGCGUUUCUCAAAAAACCCGGUCUCAGUUCGGAUUGCAGGCUGCAACUCGCCUGCAUGAAGCAGGAAUCGCUAGUAAUCGCCGGUCAGCCAUACGGCGGUGAAUUCGUUCUCGGGCCUUGUACACACCGCCCGUCACACAACUACUAUAUAAACACGAGCUGGCCAUGUUUGAAGUCUUUACCUUAACCGCAAGGAGGGGGAUGACAAAGGCAGGGUUAGUGAUUGGAGUGAAGUCGUAACAAGGUAGCCGUACUGGAAGGUGCGGCUG